rnacentral:rRNA from 1 species
UACGGGGGGGGCAAGCGUUGUUCGGAAUUACUGGGCGUAAAGAGCUCGUAGGUGGUUCGGUAAGUCGGAUGUGAAAUCUCCAGGCUCAACCUGGAGGGGUCAUUCGAUACUGCCGUGACUAGAGUUCGGUAGGGGAGUGUGGAAUUCCUGGUGGAGCGGUGAAAUGCGCAGAUAUCAGGAGGAACACCCGUAGCGAAGGCGGCACUCUGGGCCGAUACUGACACUGAGGAGCGAAAGCGUGGGGAGCGAACAGG